AUUGAACGCUGGCGGCAGGCCUAACACAUGCAAGUCGAACGAGUGGCGGACGGGUGAGUAAUGUCUGGGAAACUGCCUGAUGGAGGGGGCUAACUACUGGAAACGGUAGCUAAUACCGCAUACCAUCAGAUGUGCCCAGAGGGGAUUAGCUGGUUGGUGGGGUAACGGCUCACCAAGGCGACGAUCCCUAGCUGGUCUGAGAGGAUGACCGGCCACACUGGAACUGAGACACGGCCCAGACUCCUACGGGAGGCAGCAGUGGGGAAUAUUGCACAAUGGGCGAAAGCCUGAUGCAGCCAAGCCGCGUGUAUGAAGAAGGCCUUCGGGUUGUAAAGUACUUUCAGCGGGGAAGCGUUACCCGCAGAAAAAGCAACGGCUAACUCCGUGCCAGCAGCCGCGGUAAUUC
rnacentral:rRNA from 1 species